rnacentral:rRNA from 1 species
GUACCGUGAGGGAAAGGCGAAAAGAACCCCGGCGAGGGGAGUGAAAAAGAACCUGAAACCGUGUACGUACAAGCAGUGGGAGCCCCACCACUAAGCCAGUGGUGAACUCCACAUACGCAUCCUUUGCUGAGGAUACGGUUAACGGAGCGAAAGCGACGUUCAACCUCAAAAGAAGCAGAGGGGGCUUAGUGGUGGGGUGACUGCGUACCUUUUGUAUAAUGGGUCAGCGACUUAUAUUCUGUAGCAAGGUUAACCGUAUAGGGGAGCCGUAGGGAAACCGAGUCUUAAC